UUUGUGUUUUCUCCUCUCCAUUGAAGCCGCUUCGAUUCUUUCUUUGAGGUAUCCUGCAAUCCUCAACUCGAACCCUAAUUGGUGGUCCAAUUGCUUUUAUUGUUAAUUACAGAGGUGGUGUCGCAGACAUGGCGACGACCUUUCUGCUCAACUUGCUAGGGUUCCGACACUAUGUUCAUGAGUUCCUUCACUUUGAAGUUUAAGAUCUCUCACUACGUGAAGUUCAUCUGCCCCUCAAUUUUUAGUUUUCUAGCAUCUGGAAGAGGAAGAGAUAUCAGUCCCACAUUUUGAGUUUGCUGUUGGUGAAGGAUCUUAACCAGUGGAAGAUCGACAUCAGGGAUAAGCCUGAAUUAAAGAAGUUUUUUGCCUCCACAAAUUUUGAUUGGUACGCAGGUUUGAUGCUGUUAUACAUUUUGCUGGAUAUAAGGCUGUUGGCGAAAGUGUGCAGAAGCCAUUGAAGUAUUACGACAAAGUUCCCGUCUUGGCUCCGAAUACUCCCCGACAAUUGAACCAUUUCAGCUUUAUCUACCCUUUACAUCCGAAAGCACUGGUGCAAUUCUACAUGAGUUACCAUAGCUUAAUACUUCUGAUACAUGGGCUACACGGCAGACUCUACGUCACAUUGGGUAGAAGCAUUGCAUGAAGUUUCUGGCCGUCGGAAGACAGAGGAAGCUUCUAUGACUACAAAACGAUUAAAGAGUUACUCGAAUCGCGAAAAGCUUCUUCACAGUAUACAUUCGGAAAUAGCGAUGGUUCAGGAAGCAUGUCGACAUUAAAAAGUUGCAUUUUUGCAAAGAAACACAUAACAACUAUUAUCACAACCCUCCAUCGUCUUACUAUGCUUGGUUUGUGCUUGAAUCAUGUCUUUCUUUAAAAGAUGUUCUGAUGCAAAGUCUGAUUAUUAUACAAUUAGCCUACAAGUUGUUAGAGGUAUACUCCACUUUAACUAUGAUAGUAUCUGCCAUAGAAGAACUGCAAGGAAUGACUUUAAAACGACAAUGAAAAAAGGCUUCUCCACAAUUGGAGGAAAAAGUGACACUCUAUUGCUACUCCAUUGAUCUUUAGAAGAUGGUUCCAUGGUCAUGGUUGUUAGAAAAAGUAAACAUUUUACUGUGUAAGUCAUGUCUCACUUAACUGUUUUUAAUGUGUUAUCAUUGUU
rnacentral:lncRNA from 1 species